AACCACGUUGAACGAUAAGACGUUGAACAACGAAUGCGUAAUAUUCGAAACGGAAUAAUGGAAAUUGACGUCGAUCGAUUCGGUCGGUCGACCGAAAGUUGUCGAAUGUAAACAUGUAACUUUCAGUAACGCGAUCGACGUUCGACGAGAACGACGCAUUUCUUAACGCGUGAAUCUCAGAACGCAAUUGUUCGUAAUUAUGUCAGGACUUAAUUGGCAGUUUCGAGUGUGCAGAAUGUUUAUCGACGAUCAUCGAAAGAUUCGAUGGAUGUGGCUUCUAAACGGUUUGAUCGAAAAUGAACUUCGAUCUCGGUAGGAUUAACGUUAAACUUUACUAUCAUAAUUCGUUUCAUCACCUUGACCAAUGACAAUUAAAAGA
rnacentral:misc_RNA from 1 species